AGAGGGCUGAGGCAGACGGGGUUGUUGCAGGUCAGGAGGGGGAAGGGGGAGGGAGGAGAAGGCACAUGUGUUUUGCAGCCUUCCUUCCCCUCCCCUCCCCCCAGCACUCACCUGGGGGAGACGCCGAGGGAGCUUCUGGUCCGGUGGGAGACAGGAAUCUCUGCAGUGGACCUCACCUACCUGAGCAGCUGCUGGGGCUUCCAACGGCACCAAGGCCUAA